AUUGAACGCUGGCGGCAGGCCUAACACAUGCAAGUCGAGCGGAGCGGCGGACGGGUGAGUAAUGCCUAGGAAUCUGCCUGGUAGUGGGGUAAACCGCCGGGAAAGGGCGCCUAUUACGGCAUCCAUUCAGUGAGCCUUGGGUCGGAUUAGCUAGUUGGUGGGGUAAAGGCAAACCAAGGCGACGAUCCGUAACUGGUCUGAGAGGAUGAUCAGUCACACUGGAACUGAGACACGGUCCAGACUCCUACGGGAGGCAGCAGUGGGGAAUAUUGGACAAUGGGCGAAAGCCUGAUCCAGCCAUGCCGCGUGUGUGAAGAAGGUCUUCGGAUUGUAAAGCACUUUAAGUUGGGAGGCGUUACCAACAGAAUAAGCACCGGCUAACUUCGUGCCAGCAGCCGCGGUAAUAC
rnacentral:rRNA from 1 species